rnacentral:rRNA from 1 species
UACGAAGGGGGCUAGCGUUGCUCGGAAUCACUGGGCGUAAAGCGCACGUAGGCGGCUUUCUAAGUCAGGGGUGAAAUCCUGGAGCUCAACUCCAGAACUGCCUUUGAUACUGGAGAGCUUGAGUUCGGGAGAGGUGAGUGGAACUGCGAGUGUAGAGGUGAAAUUCGUAGAUAUUCGCAAGAACACCAGUGGCGAAGGCGAACUUCCUGGCCUGUUCUUGACGCUGAGGCGCGAAAGCUAGGGUAGCAAACGGGGAUUAAGAAACCC